UACAGAGGUGCCAAGCGUUAGGCGGAAUCACUGGGCUUAAAGCGCGUGUAGGCGGGUCGUUAAGUGUCCGAGUGAAAUCCCACGGCUCAACCGUGGAACUGCCGGGCAUACUGGCGAUCUUGAGGCAUUCAGGGGCGAGCGGAACAAAUGGUGGAGCGGUGAAAUGCGUAGAUAUCAUUGGAACGCCAAUGGUGAAACAGCUCGCUGGGAAUGAUCUGACGCUGAGACGCGAAAGCCAGGGAGCGAACGGG
rnacentral:rRNA from 1 species